CAGGUAACUUUACCACUGUCCUGGUUCUAUUGUUUUGACCUCAGCAAGGUCAAAGUAGUAGGAGGGAUUGAGUGAAGACAGCAAGGAUCCUGAAAGAAUAUGGACACAGACCUGUGAUCAAAGAGCUCAUCAAAGUGGAGCAAUCAUCGAGUCAAGUGGCCUGAUCAUUUGUAGCAAUUAAGCCAUAGAAUCCGUGUCUACUCUAGCCCAUCACUGUAGCAGCCCUCAUCUCCUCUGUCCUGUUUUAAUCAGUUAUGUCAGUAGUUCCCUCCUGUCCUCUUUUAAAUAAAUGAGUUUGUUUCUCAUCA